rnacentral:rRNA from 1 species
CAAUAGCGUAUAUUAAAGUUGUUGCGGUUAAAAAGCUCGUAGUUGGAUUUCUGCCGAGGACGACCGGUCCGCCCUUUGGGUGUGUAUCUGGCUCUUUCUUGGCAUCUUCUUGGUGAACGUUGCUGCACUUGACUGUGUGGAGCGCUACCCAGGACUUUUACUUUGAGGAAAUUAGAGUGUUUCAAGCAGGCAUACGCCUUGAAUACAUUAGCAUGGAAUAAUAAGAUAGGACCUCGGUUCUAUUUUGUUGGUUUCUAGAGCUGAGGUAAUGAUUAAUAGGGAUAGUUGGGGGCAUUCGUAUUUAACUGUCAGAGGUGAAAUUCUUGGAUUUGUUAAAGACGGGCUACUGCGAAAGCAUUUGCCAAGGAUGUUUUCAUUGA